CUGUGCUGGAGCUCUCGAUCUCGCGCCGCGGUAGGCCUGGGCACAU
rnacentral:misc_RNA from 1 species